AAUCUUCCACAAUGGGCGAAAGCGUGAUGGAGCAACGCCGCGUGAGUGAAGAAGGUUUUCUGAUCGUAAAACUCUUUUGUAAGGGAAGAACAAGUACAGUAGUAACUGACUGUACCUUGACGGUACCUUAUGAGAAAGCCACGGCCACCUACGUGCCAGCAGCCGCGGUAAUACGUAGGUGGCAAGCGUUUUCCGGAAUUAUUGGGCCUAAAGCGCGCGCAGGCGGUCCUUUAAGUCUGAUGUGAAAGCCCACGGCUCAACCGUGGAGGGUCAUUGGAAACUGGGGGACUUGAGUGCAGAAGAGGAAAGUGGAAUUCCAAGUGUAGCGGUGAAAUGCGUAGAGAUUUGGAGGAACACCAGUGGCGAAGGCGACUUUCUGGUCUGUAACUGACGCUGAGGCGCGAAAGCGUGGGGAGCAAACAGG
rnacentral:rRNA from 1 species